UCUGGAUAUGGUGUAACGGCUAACAUUGCCUUUCAGUAUCUCAACGUUCGCGGCAGCUCGGGGUUCGAUUCCCCGUAUCCGAA